rnacentral:misc_RNA from 1 species
GAUGAAGAACGUAGCGAAAUGCGAUAAGUAAUGUGAAUUGCAGAAUUCAGUGAAUCAUCGAAUCUUUGAACGCACAUUGCGCCCGCCAGUAUUCUGGCGGGCAUGCCUGUUCGAGCGUCAUUUCAACCAUCAAGCCCCCGGCUUGUGUUGGGGACCUGCGGCUGCCGCAGGCCCUGAAAAGCAGUGGCGGGCUCGCUGUCACACCGAGCGUAGUAGCAUACAUCUCGCUCUGGGCGUGCUGCGGGUUCCGGCCGUUAAACCACCUUCAUAACCCAAGGUUGACCUCGGAUCAGGUAGGAAGACCCGCUGAACUUAAGCAUAUCAAUAAGCGA